AAAGAUGUUUAUCUAAAUAGUAAAAAUACCACUUUCCUAUACGAUAUAAAAAUACUUGUUUUGUCCCGACAAAAAAAGGUAUAUUGUUGUAGGUCUUUGAUUUGAUGAAAAAGGAAAGGUAUCUUGGGUUCAGAAAAUUAGGAGAGAUGGUGGUGACGUUGUCACACACAACCUUUUUCUCUUCUGCGACGAAACCAAACUUUCAGCUUCAGGAUGAACUUUUUGUUCACAAACCAAAUCUUCAAAACCGAUGUCUCCAAACAUAAUUCCAAAAAUAGUCACUUUGGUACUAUUUAGUCCGUACCAAAAUCCUUCCAAGAUAUUGUAGGUUUCUAGUCUUCCCGACUUGACACCAAUUAUUAAGUGUAUGCUUCAGAUUAAUGCACAAACAAAGCAUGGUUAAUGCCCUAACAAACACUAUUUCCCAACGUCCAGAGAGUGGUGCAACAACAUCAUCCAACCUUUUAGAUAUAUAAUUCUUCAAAUGUCUGAGUAACCAAAUUUCUUGAUUCCAUAUUGCCUCUCUUAUCCAUAUUGGUCACACGUAACAGACAUCAAAGGUCUUUCGUCUCCAUCCCUUACAGUGAUGUGUAUGUUGGAAAUACAAUUUGAUAAAAAGAUAAACAAUUUUGUGAUGAUGCAGCCUUCUUCGAGUCUCUCCCGGCCAUGGCGGGAUGCGAAACUGAAUUCUCAAAUAUUAGUUGUGAAUAUUGAACACCUCUAUGAAAUAUAUUAGGGCGGAGACAGUGCAUCAAACAAAACAGAAUAAAACCGAAGCAUAUAUUGAACAUCAAAAAGUACAACUCCUAGAGGGAGACACAUACAGUAACAGAGUUAGACUCCAUCACCGAAGGAAAUGACACACUUGAAUGAUAAAGCAACAAAAAUAGUAGAUCAUAAUUCGUGUGGAAUAAAUCAAUUAACAAAAAAAUAAAACAGAUGAAAAAAUUCCGGUGACCGUAGCCGCUGGAGACGUUUAUUCGAUGUAGAAAAAAA